rnacentral:misc_RNA from 1 species
AUUGUGAUCAUCAAAAUAAGUCUCUAAACUGGAAAUUUUAGUCUGGUCACAGUUGAUACUUCACAUGGUAAACAUCACAGGGUUUAUUCUGUCAGACUUUUAAGUAACAUCAAGCAAACCAUCAUGUCAAAUGAACAUAGAUAAAAGAAGAAAGAUUCAGAUUAAAAAAGAAAAAUCCUAAAUAGGAAAAGAGCAGUGUUUCCAGAACAUGAAAUCAAAUAAAGGAAAAAGACAGACCACCCUUAAAUAGGAAUAAAGUGCCGAUAUCAAUGGAAGUUAAAGUCCUUACAUGGUCCUCAUGUUGUGAAGACGGUCUGCAAGCUUGAUGAGCACCACUCGUGGAUCGUCAACCAUGCCCAACAGCAUAACUCGUAAAUUAUUUGCCUAAAGAAAAUAACAACAAAAUUACAAGAGUUAAGAAACUAACUAUUGAAGGAAUCGUAAUCAACUCCAGGAUAUAAUUUAUUAAGUGAAGAAAUAUUCAAAUCAUAGGCUUUACAUAUUGACAAAAUGCUUUGUUGAGCACUUUAAACUCAUUGGUAGAGAUCAAAUGUAAGUCAUUCAUUUUCUGUAACAUUAGUAUCCCCAGUGUCUUCUUUU